rnacentral:lncRNA from 1 species
AUUGAAAAUUUUCAAAAGAAAAAAAAAAGGAAGGAAGAGAGAAAAGGAAAUUGGCCCUCCUUCACGAAAAAGUUGAGAAGAGUGGUCUUUGAUGAAUCAGGCUUGGCCUAGCCCUUGCAGAUGGGUGAGACUUCCACAGCUAACUAUAUGGAACAAGGGUGGAACAAGGCCAGUCAGCAGCAUCUAUUCAAAAGGAGGGAUUCCGGGAACAAAUGAAGACAAAGACAGUUUGCACAGUCGGAAGACAGGAAGUCUGUUCUUUCCACAGCCUGCAUAAAGAAGACACAUCUUUUUGAUUAAAGUGCAGCUUUCAUGCCCUUCUCUGGCAGGCUGCCAAGCUGGCUUAAG